AGGCGAACAGUGCAUAAAUGAAGUACUUAAAAAGUGUAUAGGCCUGGUGUGGAUUUAGGCUCGGGGCUAUCCACCAUAGGAAGUAAUCGUUCACGCCCUUCCGAUGAUAUUCACAUUGGGCUUUGAAAGAGAUGGAAAAAUUUCAUAUAUCUUAGCUCUUAAAAACCUUCAAAUUUCGGAGCAUUUUUCCACUUUUUUGUUUAUGACUCGGUCCAAAGCAACAUCACUUCUACUGCAUUUUUGUCACUGACCGAAGCAAAAGAAAUCAAGAGGAAAGAAAGAAGAAAGAAGAAAGAAGAGAGAAAGCUGCAGCUACAAAGAGAAAGAGAGGAGAAUUUUCAGUAUUGUACAACAUUCUAUGCAAUCAGAGGUAUAUUUAGCUCAUACAAAUAUAGUAACGGAAACAUUGAUUGCAGAAAUAUCAAUUCUGGUGCACAAGUUUUGUCUGAGGAAAGGCAAUCUUCUUAUUGCAGGACUAUCUGGCAGAAAUGUUUGCAUGCCUUGCAGAUGAAAUGAGGAAAGUGGAGGAAAAUACAGAGGAAUACCCAAGUCUCGAAAUUGUAGACAUAAAAAAUAUGAAGAUAAAAUUAAAGACAGAAUUGAAACCAAAUAUUGCUCGGCUAGUGGAAGAAGAUAAUCCAGAUGAGUUAGAGGAGCUUCUACUGAGUGAAAGGAAUUUAGAAACAAUACCUUCAAGCAAAAAAGGGAAAAAGAACAAAAAAAAUGUUUCAAAAGAGACUGACGAGUUCUCCAAAUUAGCCAGAAGAAUAUUUCAUUAUGCUUGUGCACUUGAUUCUAUUAAAUGUUGUAAAAUUUUGUUAGAUUCAGAAAAGUUCACCCCUGUAAGUAUUGAUGCUGUAGAUGAAGUUGAGCAGCGCUCAGGUUUGCAUAUUGCAAGUUUUUGCCAUAACCAUAAAUCUGUAGAUCUUCUUUUGAAAAAGGGAGCUAAUUCUAUUCUUUUAAAUAGGCAUUCGAUGAUGCCUCUUGAAGAAGCUUUAUUGAGUCCUAACCUAGAUGUGGACUGGGACCUGUCUACAGAUGCAUCUGAAAUUGUUAAACAAAUUGGGGAGAAGGAUUUAAAAGUAUUGAAAACUCUUGUAAUAAAGUGUAGUAGCAAAGAGGCCUUUGUUGCUUUGGCAUUCAAAUUUGCUAAAAAUCUAACUUUAGUUCCAUUAGUUGCUCUAUUACAUGUCAGAAGGUCAAUCAUAAACACUGUGAUGAAAAGUUCAGAAUUUGACACAGAAUCUGGAGGGACAAUACUUGAUUACAUGUUAGAAAAGGUACUACUCUCCCCAUCUCCUAAUAGCCCAGAUGAAGGAUUCCAAAAUCUUGCAAAAUGUCAGACAACCAAUUUGGAGGAAGAGCAUGUGUCAGAAGUGCUGAACUCAAAAAGAACUUUAGGGGAUUGGGAUGACGAUAAUCCAGAAAUAAAGUUCAGGAAAGAUGCUACUGAAUGGGAGGAAAUUAAUUCAAAAUAUUGUUCAAAUUCAAGUGAAGGAGAUGCUAGUCGAAAAACUGGCAAUAUAGUGACAGAGUCUACUAAGGCAUCUGGUAAAUGCAAAGACAAUCAUGAUUUACAGAAGCAGAACUAUAGAGUUGCAAGAAAAAUAUUAGAAUGCAUUCUUCAGUUUGUCCAAAGCUGGAGUGCACAUGCAAAAAACUGUCUGCCACCAUUGAUUCGAGCUGUGCAGGUAAAUGAUCUUGAACUUAUCAAUAUUUUGCUGGCUUCUUCUGCCCCAGUCAAUGCUACAGAUAAUGAUGGAAACACGGCUCUUCAUUGGGCCUUGAAACAAGCUACUUCUUUCAAUAGGUGCAGUGUAAACUGUAGAGUUGUGGAAAGGCUUCUAGAAGCUGGUUCAUCUGUUACAUCUGGAAACAAUACUGGGGCAACUCCUGUACAUACAGCUGCAGGUCAUGGCCACCUGGAUGCCCUUUUUUUAAUUAUAAUGAAGCAUGAGGGAUGUAUAAAUGUACUGACAGGAACAAAAGAGACCCCUCUACAUUAUGCUGUGAAAAAUAAUCAUCUUCCAUGUGCAGCUCUCUUACUUAGAUAUGGGGCGAACCGAGAUGUAUUAAGUUUGAGGAGUCAUAAACCUAUUCAACUUGUGCGGUCUGCUGAGAUGCAUGAUUUGAUAAGUCUGAAUGGCCACCUUCUUGAAGAAGCAUGUGAUCAGAUUGUUGCUUCCCAAAAUUGCAUUCCCGCAGAGUUAAAGUAUUCACAUUUCCAGAAAACACAGGGAACAAAUUCUCUGUUUCCAGAUGGCCUAUCUCCUGUCAAGCAUCCAGAUUCCAUUUCUCAAUCAGCCACUUCUGCUGUAUCUAAUUCAUAUCUGUCUGUGGCAAGAGCGAUGCCACAAAAUCCUGCUGAAGUUCCAGAAAAAUUCCAGGCACAGCCUUCAACCCAGCUUUCUGCAUUUGACUCACAGGAGACUGACAUUGCCUCAAAUUCAACUUCUUGGCAAACAGUUCAGAAAAAGCCACGCAAGCAUACAAUCAGUGCAGAUGCAGUUGUAAAUACCAAAGAGCAGCCUCCUGCUAAAACAGUUACCUUGCCUCCCUUCAAGUCAGUUUUUUGUCGCUUUCAUGGGACCAACAAGAAGUGCGAGUGGGGAUUCAAUUGCCAUUUUGCUCACUCAGAAGAGGAACUUCUCAAGGGUCAGCAAAUGACACUUCUUAGUCAGAAGGUGGAAGCAGUUCAUGGAAUUCAAGUAAUUUCCAGUGCAUCUGAUUCUUUAAAGAAUUAUAAAAUCAAGCUGUGUAUGCAUUAUGAGAGAAAUGGAAAUUGCCCAAAUGGGUUGAAAUGCAAAUUCGCUCAUGGACAGAAAGAGCUUAGGCCUAUAUCAGCUUUGCCAAGUGUUUUAUCAGGUGCAAGAAUUGCAACUCGCCCUUCAACUGCAUCAUCAUUCGGAUCUUUUUCAAGUGAGGAAUUAGAUGACUUGAAUUCUCGAAAAGUCUUUGUUGGUGGUUUACCACCUUAUGUUAAUGAUAAGGAGCUCCUUGAAUUCAUGGAUGGAGAAUUUGGAAAAGUUGUGGAUUCUACUGUUAUUUGUGGCAAUGAUGAAGAUGGGGUCAUCAGAUCUAGAGGAUUUGGGUUUGUUUUGUUUGAAAAUCAGAAAGAUGCAGAUGAAGCGGUAAGGAGGCAUUACAUUCCAUUCCAAGGUAAAAAAGUAGAGCUUAAGAAAGCAAUGACUCGAAUGGAAUUGGCAUCUGGAGAUGAAUUAGGAAAGCAAUGUUUAUCCUCUUUGGGAAUUUCAUCAGCAGGCAAUACUCGGUCCCCUGCUAUAGCUUCAACUUCUUCUGAUACUAUCAUGCUUGAUGAGAAAUUGCAUUCAGGCACAGAUGCAGCAAGCUAUAACCAACAUUUGCCGGUGCCACAAUCAUCUUUAUCCAUGGAGUCACCCCAAGGAUUGAUUCAGGAUGAUCUUCCGUGCCAGCAGUCUUUUGCUUCUGAUUCUGCCAGGUUCCUUUCUGAAAACACCAAGAUAAUUCAGAAGAGUGGACAAAUUGAAAAGAUCCAAAACAGUGAAUCUGUUCGUCCUGUUCACAACAAUUCUACUGUGGAAGGUUCUGCAUCGUAUGAAAAAGUUUAUCCUUUACACCAUGGUGUUGAGCAAUUACAAAAGCUAGAUAAUACCUCCCGUCAUUCUUCAUUUCAUUCCUACAACCUGUGUUCUUCACAAUCUCUCAAUACAUUGCCUUCCUCGCCUUCAUCUCUGAAUACAAUGCCUUCCUCACCCCUGCCAGGCCUGUCAAGUAUUUAUGAUGCCCCAGUUACAAAUGGUAACAUAAAUCCAUUGAAUGGCCAACCCUUCACUUAUUUUAGCAGUGGUACAUCUAAUUCUUAUUUCAGCACCACGCCUGGAACUAAUCAUUCAACACAAAUCAAUGGUCGCAGUGAUGAGGAUCUCUCACUAUUACUUGAAUUGUUACAAGUCCGUCCCAUGCCAGAGUCAACACAGGCUGAAUCCUUGUGUAAAACACAAGUUUCUAACCGUGGCGUAAGCCAAUCUGUAAUGCCAGUAUCUUUUCAGGAUAGUUGGAAAAGCGACACUUUAGCUAAUUACCAAAAUUUGGAUCCCCAGUCUGUAUAUAGCGGAAGUUGGUAUGAUUCAAUAAAAAAUGGCAGAGACGUUGGGUGUCAAUUGUCAGGUGGCAUGAGGUAUUCUUCAAUACAAAAUUGUAUAGACAGUGAAUAUCAAUUUUCAGGUGGCUUGGGGUAUCCUUCCAUCCAAACUGGCACAAGCAAUGAGUCUCAAUUAUCAAAUGCAUUAAGAUAUCCUUAUUUGUCACAAAGUUCAACAGCACACAGUAAUGUAUCAAAUAGCUUCUGUUAUGAUAGUUCAUUUCCAGAAAGUUUUGAAUACAAUCAAAAUUACCAAAUUCCAGUUGCAUCACAAGGACAUGGAAUAAUAUCUUCGGGUAGAUAUGUUGCUUCAGAGUUAGCCAAAAAUAUCUCUAAUCCUUCUAAUGGCCACUUUCAAGAAUUUGAUAGGUCCAUUGUACCUUCCACUUAUGAUUGGAGCAGUUUACAGGAUUCAAGGUUUUUGAACUAAACUGGAGAGGCUACUGUGCCACAGGAGCUUGUGGAAAUAUUCCUUUAAGAAGGUUUUGGAUUCAAUGAAGAUUACCCACUUCCAAAUGGGUGCACACACAUAGGAUGUAUAUUCAGGGCUGCUCGGAAAUAUUUGUUAUUGUUUCUUGGAGACUGUUCUGGGUUUCAUCCUCCACAUGCACUGUUAAUUUAAUUUGAAAAUAUUUUGCACUUGUGAGUGCCUCUGAGUAGUUUUUGGGAGUAUCAAAUCAAUGUCUGAAUAUCAGGCUACACAAACGUUCAUUUACAAGUGAAGCUUUGCAAACUAUAGCAGAUUCUUUAGUCAAAGGCAUCCUUGAUGUAUACUGUAAUGAUAUAUUCUUCUUAGCAUCAUCUCUUUUAAUGAAAUGCAAUCUAAGCCAGGUUUACAAUGUACGUCAUGUUGCCAUUUCACUUGAUGUUGCUAUUAAUGCUUAAUUCUGACUAUUGUAGUAACAUUUCCGGUCCUUUAGCUACCUACCAAGAUGUUCCCAAAGGGACUAAGGUAUGGCUCCAGGACUGAUUGAAUGCCUUUUUGAAUUAGGAAAAAUGGCUAUCAUCGAAUCCACCUAGUGGGUAUUAUAAUCAUGAUAUCUUCAGUAGA